UAGACGUUGUAGAGGGUCUCGCUGCACCGGUGGUGGUCACACAGCAGAGAUGAACGACGAUGUAGAGGGUCUCGCUGCACCGGUGGAGGUCACACAGCAGAGAUGAACGACGAUGUAGAGGGUCUCGCUGCACCGGUGGUGGUCAAACAGCAGAGAUGAACGACGAUGUAGAGGGUCUCGCUGCACCAGGUGGUGGUCACACAGCAGAGAUGAACGACGAUGUAGAGGGUCUCGCUGCACCGGUGGUGGUCACACAGCAGAGAUGAACGACGAUGUAGAGGGUCUCGCUGCACCGGUGGAGGUCACACAGCAGAGAUGAACGACGAUGUAGAGGGUCUCGCUGCACCGGUGGUGGUCACACAGCAGAGAUGAACGACGAUGUAGAGGGUCUCGCUGCACCGGUGGAGGUCACACAGCAGAGAUGAACGACGAUGUAGAGGGUCUCGCUGCACCGGUGGUGGUCAAACAGCAGAGAUGAACGACGAUGUAGAGGGUCUCGCUGCACCGGUGGUGGUCACACAGCAGAGAUGAACGACGAUGUAGAGGGUCUCGCUGCACCGGUGGUGGUCACACAGCAGAGAUGAACGACGAUGUAGAGGGUCUCGCUGCACCGGUGGAGGUCACACAGCAGAGAUGAACGACGAUGUAGAGGGUCUCGCUGCACCGGUGGUGGUCACACAGCAGAGAUGAACGACGAUGUAGAGGGUCUCGCUGCACCGGUGGUGGUCACACAGCAGAGAUGAACGACGAUGUAGAGGAUCUAGCUGCACCGGUGGAGGUCAAACAGCAGAGAUGAACGACGAUGUAGAGGGUCUCGCUGCACCGGUGGUGGUCACACAGCAGAGAUGAACGACGUUGUAGAGGGUCUCGCUGCACCGGUGGUGGUCACACAGCAGAGAUGAACGACGAUGUAGACGUUGUAGAGGGUCUCGCUGCACCGGUGGUGGUCACACAGCAGAGAUGAACGACGAUGUAGAGGGUCUCGCUGCACCGGUGGAGGUCACACAGCAGAGAUGAACGACGAUGUAGAGGUUCUAGCUGCACCGGUGGUGGUCACGCAGCAGAGAUGAACGACGAUGUAGAGGGUCUCGCUGCACCGGUGGAGGUCACACAGCAGAGAUGAACGACGAUGUAGACGUUGUAGAGGGUCUCGCUGCACCGGUGGAGGUCACACAGCAGAGAUGAACGACGAUGUAGAGGGUCUCGCUGCACCGGUGGAGGUCAAACAGCAGAGAUGAACGACGAUGUAGAGGGUCUCGCUGCACCGGUGGAGGUCAAACAGCAGAGAUGAACGACGAUGUAGAGGGUCUCGCUGCACCGGUGGAGGUCAAACAGCAGAGAUGAACGACGAUGUAGAGGGUCUCGCUGCACCGGUGGAGGUCAAACAGCAGAGAUGAACGACGAUGUAGAGGGUCUCGCUGCACCGGUGGUGGUCACACAGCAGAGAUGAACGACGAUGUAGAGGGUCUCGCUGCACCGGUGGUGGUCACACAGCAGAGAUGAACGACGAUGUAGAGGGUCUCGCUGCACCGGUGGAGGUCACACAGCAGAGAUGAACGACGAUGUAGAGGGUCUAGCUGCACCGGUGGUGGUCACGCAGCAGAGAUGAACGACGAUGUAGAGGGUCUCGCUGCACCGGUGGAGGUCAAACAGCAGAGAUGAACGACGAUGUAGAGGGUCUCGCUGCACCGGUGGAGGUCACACAGCAGAGAUGAACGACGAUGUAGAGGGUCUCGCUGCACCGGUGGAGGUCACACAGCAGAGAUGAACGACGAUGUAGAGGGUCUCGCUGCACCGGUGGAGGUCAAACAGCAGAGAUGAACGACGAUGUAGAGGGUCUCGCUGCACCGGUGGAGGUCACACAGCAGAGAUGAACGACGAUGUAGAGGGUCUAGCUGCACCGGUGGUGGUCACGCAGCAGAGAUGAACGACGAUGUAGAGGGUCUCGCUGCACCGGUGGAGGUCAAACAGCAGAGAUGAACGACGAUGUAGAGGGUCUCGCUGCACCGGUGGAGGUCACACAGCAGAGAUGAACGACGAUGUAGAGGGUCUCGCUGCACCGGUGGAGGUCACACAGCAGAGAUGAACGACGAUGUAGAGGGUCUCGCUGCACCGGUGGUGGUCACACAGCAGAGAUGAACGACGAUGUAGAGGGUCUCGCUGCACCGGUGGAGGUCACACAGCAGAGAUGAACGACGAUGUAGACGUUGUAGAGGGUCUCGCUGCACCGGUGGUGGUCACACAGCAGAGAUGAACGACGAUGUAGAGGGUCUCGCUGCACCGGUGGAGGUCACACAGCAGAGAUGAACGACGAUGUAGAGGGUCUCGCUGCACCGGUGGUGGUCACACAGCAGAGAUGAACGACGAUGUAGAGGGUCUCGCUGCACCGGUGGAGGUCACACAGCAGAGAUGAACGACGAUGUAGAGGGUCUCGCUGCACCGGUGGUGGUCACACAGCAGAGAUGAACGACGAUGUAGAGGGUCUCGCUGCACCGGUGGAGGUCACACAGCAGAGAUGAACGACGAUGUAGACGUUGUAGAGGGUCUCGCUGCACCGGUGGAGGUCACACAGCAGAGAUGAACGACGAUGUAGAGGGUCUCGCUGCACCGGUGGAGGUCACACAGCAGAGAUGAACGACGAUGUAGAGGGUCUCGCUGCACCGGUGGUGGUCAAACAGCAGAGAUGAACGACGAUGUAGAGGGUCUCGCUGCACCGGUGGUGGUCACACAGCAGAGAUGAACGACGAUGUAGAGGGUCUCGCUGCACCGGUGGUGGUCACACAGCAGAGAUGAACGACGAUGUAGAGGGUCUCGCUGCACCGGUGGAGGUCACACAGCAGAGAUGAACGACGAUGUAGAGGGUCUCGCUGCACCGGUGGUGGUCACACAGCAGAGAUGAACGACGAUGUAGAGGGUCUCGCUGCACCGGUGGUGGUCACACAGCAGAGAUGAACGAUGAUGUAGAGGGUCUCGCUGCACCGGUGGUGGUCAUACAGCAGAGAUGAACGACGAUGUAGAGGGUCUCGCUGCACCGGUGGUGGUCACACAGCAGAGAUGAACGACGAUGUAGAGGGUCUCGCUGCACCGGUGGUGGUCAUACAGCAGAGAUGAACGACGAUGUAGAGGGUCUCGCUGCACCGGUGGAGGUCACACAGCAGAGAUGAACGACGAUGUAGAGGGUCUCGCUGCACCGGUGGUGGUCAAACAGCAGAGAUGAACGGCGAUGUAGAGGGUCUCGCUGCACCGGUGGUGGUCACACAGCAGAGAUGAACGACGAUGUAGAGGAUCUAGCUGCACCGGUGGAGGUCAAACAGCAGAGAUGAACGACGAUGUAGAGGGUCUCGCUGCACCGGUGGUGGUCACACAGCAGAGAUGAACGACGUUGUAGAGGGUCUCGCUGCACCGGUGGUGGUCACACAGCAGAGAUGAACGACGAUGUAGACGUUGUAGAGGGUCUCGCUGCACCGGUGGUGGUCACACAGCAGAGAUGAACGACGAUGUAGAGGGUCUCGCUGCACCGGUGGAGGUCACACAGCAGAGAUGAACGACGAUGUAGAGGGUCUCGCUGCACCGGUGGAGGUCACGCAGCAGAGAUGAACGACGAUGUAGAGGGUCUCGCUGCACCGGUGGAGGUCACACAGCAGAGAUGAACGACGAUGUAGACGUUGUAGAGGGUCUCGCUGCACCGGUGGAGGUCACACAGCAGAGAUGAACGACGAUGUAGAGGGUCUCGCUGCACCGGUGGAGGUCACACAGCAGAGAUGAACGACGAUGUAGAGGGUCUCGCUGCACCGGUGGAGGUCAAACAGCAGAGAUGAACGACGAUGUAGAGGGUCUCGCUGCACCGGUGGAGGUCAAACAGCAGAGAUGAACGACGAUGUAGAGGGUCUCGCUGCACCGGUGGAGGUCACACAGCAGAGAUGAACGACGAUGUAGAGGGUCUAGCUGCACCGGUGGUGGUCACGCAGCAGAGAUGAACGACGAUGUAGAGGGUCUCGCUGCACCGGUGGAGGUCAAACAGCAGAGAUGAACGACGAUGUAGAGGGUCUCGCUGCACCGGUGGAGGUCACACAGCAGAGAUGAACGACGAUGUAGAGGGUCUCGCUGCACCGGUGGUGGUCACACAGCAGAGAUGAACGACGAUGUAGAGGGUCUCGCUGCACCGGUGGUGGUCACACAGCAGAGAUGAACGACGAUGUAGAGGGUCUCGCUGCACCGGUGGAGGUCACACAGCAGAGAUGAACGACGAUGUAGACGUUGUAGAGGGUCUCGCUGCACCGGUGGAGGUCACACAGCAGAGAUGAACGACGAUGUAGAGGGUCUCGCUGCACCGGUGGAGGUCACACAGCAGAGAUGAACGACGAUGUAGAGGGUCUCGCUGCACCGGUGGUGGUCACACAGCAGAGAUGAACAACGUUGUAGAGGGUCUCGCUGCACCGGUGGAGGUCACACAGCAGAGAUGAACGACGAUGUAGAGGGUCUCGCUGCACCGGUGGUGGUCACACAGCAGAGAUGAACGAUGAUGUAGACGUUGUAGAGGGUCUCGCUGCACCGGUGGUGGUCACACAGCAGAGAUGAACGAUGAUGUAGAGGGUCUCGCUGCACCGGUGGAGGUCAAACAGCAGAGAUGAACGACGAUGUAGAGGGUCUCGCUGCACCGGUGGUGGUCACACAGCAGAGAUGAACGACGAUGUAGAGGGUCUCGCUGCACCGGUGGUGGUCACACAGCAGAGAUGAACGACGAUGUAGAGGGUCUCGCUGCACCGGUGGUGGUCAAACAGCAGAGAUGAACGACGAUGUAGAGGGUCUCGCUGCACCGGUGGUGGUCACGCAGCAGAGAUGAACGACGAUGUAGAGGGUCUCGCUGCACCGGUGGAGGUCACACAGCAGAGAUGAACGACGAUGUAGAGGGUCUCGCUGCACCGGUGGUGGUCAAACAGCAGAGAUGAACGACGAUGUAGAGGGUCUCGCUGCACCGGUGGAGGUCACACAGCAGAGAUGAACGACGAUGUAGAGGGUCUCGCUGCACCGGUGGAGGUCAAACAGCAGAGAUGAACGACGAUGUAGAGGGUCUCGCUGCACCGGUGGUGGUCACGCAGCAGAGAUGAACGACGAUGUAGAGGGUCUCGCUGCACCGGUGGAGGUCACACAGCAGAGAUGAACGACGAUGUAGACGUUGUAGAGGGUCUCGCUGCACCGGUGGAGGUCACACAGCAGAGAUGAACGACGAUGUAGAGGGUCUCGCUGCACCG